rnacentral:rRNA from 1 species
CCUACGGGGCGCAGCAGUGGGGAAUAUUGCACAAUGGGGGAAACCCUGAUGCAGCGACGCCGCGUGAGUGAGGAAGUAUUUCGGUAUGUAAAGCUCUAUCAGCAGGGAAGAAAAUGACGGUACCUGACUAAGAAGCCCCGGCUAACUACGUGCCAGCAGCCGCGGUAAUACGUAGGGGGCAAGCGUUAUCCGGAUUUACUGGGAGUAAAGGGAGCGCAGACGGCAGUGCAAGUCUGGAGUGAAAGCCCGGGGCCCAACACCGGAACUGCUCUGGAAACUGUGCGGCGAGAGUACUGGAGGGGCAG